UCCAAAUCAAACUGGCUAGAAGGGGCAAAAAUUGGAUGGGUCUGGAAGAAAAAGACCCAAACUCUUCUUUUUCUCUCUUGUUGCUACCCUGAUUUUUAUUCUUUCUAUUUUAGCUUUUUCUUCUUCUAGUUUUCACCUCUGGAUUUACUGUCAGUUUGUACCUAAUGUAUUUCAGGAACUCUGAUGGCUGCCUUCACAAAUACAUGCCUCUUGGUGUACCAGUAACAUGAAUAUUUUCAUUUCCAUCUUAUAGGUGAAGAAUCUGAGGUUCAUAGCAGCUAAAUCAUGAAGUGGAAGUCACAGAUCCAGUGAAGGAUAAAAUGCCAGCCCCUGCACAUCCGUGGCUUUUUCUACUAUACCACCUCUUUCAUUUUCCUUCUUUAAUCAUCCUCUGACUUCUGUUUUCCCGUUACCUUCUAUCCUUCUCUUCUAAGGAGCACGUGUAAAAUUAGGAAGGAGAAGUGAACAUGCAAUGAAAAUACCGGAGCUCAGCUUUCACCCACAGUAUCUCCAAAAAUAAUUUCAACUCAGGCAGUGAAAACUUCAAUCUCUUCAGCUAAAAGAAUGAUUCCCACUGCCCAAACAGAGAUGGGCAAGAUCAGAAAUAAAACAUGGAGCUUCGAGUGAAAAGGGAAAAAAGGGGGAGGAAAGAAGAUGGUAAGAGAAAAAGAAGGGACAGAAAGCCGAUUAUCACACUGAAGGAAGAGGAAGCAGCAGAAGAAAAGUGUUCGUGACACCUGCUAAAACUAGUAAGGAAGACUUAUACGAAGUAGAAUUGCUACCAGGGGAUUUGGCACAGAGGAGACAGAGUGAGCUCGACUCCGAAUGCAAGGCCAGUUGGAGAUUUAUAGCCCAGGAGCAGGUUGGGGCAGAGGAUGGAAAGUUACUAAGGGGAAGCAUCAGGUCUACUGGGAUAUUUACUGGAUCCACUCAACAGGACUCUGCUAAAACUGAACAAGAUGGUCAAGGACAAAGCCCAAGGCCAAAAAGAGGGCUUAGAUGAACCUGACUACAGUUUGGUUCAGGGAAGAGUUUCUGUCAGUGGUGAUUAUGAUGGCGUUUGCAUAUAACAUUUAUUGAGCAUUUGUAUGCUGUCCGAGGUCCAUCCCUCAUACUGCAGGUAAGUUGUGCUGAAGGGCUUUCCCUGGUACGCUGAGACUUAUGAAAUUUGCAAGCACAUAAUUUAAGAACCACUGCUCUAGGGACGAUCUGUCCUGGGCCUCUCUGAAUAACCAUUUUCAAUAUUUCAUGGCACUAAUGAAGAAAGAAAAACACCAUCAAAAGCCAGCUACCCUGGCGAAUACAGUAGGAUAACCUCUGACCUGCCACUUAGGAUGGGAACAACUGUGCAAAGAGUCCUCCCCUGCCACCACCACCUGCCCUCCUGGCUGUAGGGUACUGUUUAUGGCCUGGGUGGUGAGGCAAGACAGGAGACCGCUCUGCACACUUGCAAAGGUCUGAGCCAGGCCUGGCCAUCCAGGUGCCUGCCACUUACAAGAGCAAAAUUUUUUCAGGUUGAACUUUGCCUGUUGCCCUGGGGCCCCUGGAAGGUGCAAUGCCUUUCUCUUUCAUUAAUCAACAGUGGUGGGUACACAGCAGGCAGGAAGGAGCUUGGGAGGGGGAAGGAAGAGAACUUCACGCAGGGCAGGCAGGGGUUCCCUGGCCUCUACCUCCCAGGCUGGGGCAAACUGAACCAGAGCGGGCCACAGGUCCAUAACUCAUCCUAAUGAAGGGCCUCAGUAAACCUGCCAAGCCCCGGGGUGUCAGCAGGAAGCUCCUGGCCCUUUUGCUGACAAGGGUCCAAAUGUGCAGGUGGUAAUGGAGCUCUUUCCUCCCGGGGUUUUUAUGGCAUGUUAAGGAGCAGCUGGAAACUUUGGGACUUAUUCCAUCAGAUCCCUGGAGAAGGGGUGGUGAACCCCAGGUCUUGCUCUGGGAGAUCCCAGGAGCUAUUGGACACCCUUCCAUUCAGCAGCAGGAAUCCUGCUUUGGCAGGCAGCUAGUGGAAGAUGUGUAGUGGCAGCGGCUUUGGUUGUAAGAUGCUGGAUAGAAUGAAUUAUAUUCAAAACAGGUAAGAACAGACAAAAUUCAUUUAAAAAUUCACUCUAGGCCAGACCUACACUUUGCUCCUCUAUGUACUGUCUCACCUCCUACAACACCCACAUGGGGUUGUCAAUCCUAUUUUCUAUGUGAAGUAAAUGAAGUUCAGAGGAGCUCAGUGAUCUGCCCAAAGUCACACAGCCACACAGGUCAGUCUGACUCGAGAGCCCCAUGUCCUGUUAUGCUUAGUGAGCACUGUACAAAGUAGCGGAUCUUCAUUAUGACCUGAAAGGGGCUGGGGAUUUAGCUCAGCGGCAUAAGCACCUGCCUUGCAAGCAGGUGGUCAUGAGUUCGAUCCCUGGUGCUGAUAAAAAGUUAAAAAAAAAUACAUUAUGACCUGAAAUAGGCAAUGCUCUGGGCUCCCUAUAAUUAACAUAGUUUAUAGAUGAGCAAAACAGAACUGAAGGAGGUAUAAGGUUAUGCACUAGGUAACACAGUAAGUGUCCUUAGCCAUGAUUUGACAGCCUGUCACAUUAGCCAAACAAUCCUUGGGGGAAGGCCAUCCUGAAUGAACCACUGCUUCCUAAGGUUAGUUAAAAUCCUCAGUUUUUUCUAGCAUUUCUCAAUUUUUCCUCAUGCCCUCGAGGAAACUCACAGACACUGAAGGCAGAACUCUUACUUUAUUUUUUAUUUUUUCCCAACCUGCAGAGCUUCCAGUUAAGUUUUCAAUUAAAGAUGUAGUUAAGAUGAUGUUAGAGUAAUUAUUUUAAAAUAUUGUAGCCCUUACCUAAUUCCAGAAGAGUAUUGAAAUAGUUCAUUAAAAAUAUAACCUAUGGGGCUGGGGAUUUAGCUCAGCGGCAUAAGCGCUUGCCUUGCAAGAACGGAGUCGUGAGUUCGAUCCCUGGUACCAAUAAAAGAAAAAAAAUUAGAAAAAAAAAUAUAACCUAUAUAUGUCUUCCAAUGACUAAAUUGCAAACUCGUAAAGGAAUGGUCAUUUGUCUACUUUCUAUUUCUUGCUCUUCCCAUCCCAAAGCGAAGGGUUUGUCUGUCUAUCCAUCGGUCUAUAUUAUCCAUGUAUAUCUAUUACUAUAUGUCUGUCUAUCUUUUAAUCUGUCCAUUCAUCUGUCUAUACAUAGGUAUCUAUCUGUCUGUCUGUCUAUCUACUCAUCCAUCCAACCAUCUACCUAAUAACCUCUCCACAGAGGAAAGGGAGAAAUGGCAGCACUGGUACUAAAAGACUGAGAGUCACUAUGGACUUGCCAUUUAAAUGGUUCAACAUAACUUGGCAAUCACAGAAGAAAAGCAGAAAAAUUAUCGUUGAAGACAUGAUGGUGUUUGUGAUCUGUUUUUCUUUUGACUAUGGCUGAAACCUCACGUCAGCAACAGCGUAUAACUUAUCCCACCAGCUCAUCUCUGGUCCCUUCCUUACACAAUCAUUGACAGAUGAGUUCCCAGCAGUCCAGUACUGAGCAAAUCUACACCUUGAACUUAGAAAUUUUUCCUACAGUUCCAAAGCAAGUAAAUUGAUGACAGACUUAAAUCUACUGAUCUUUAUUAAAUGAUAAAGCACAUGCAAAAUAUCUUAUCCAAAAUAAGAAUCUGGUUCCCUUGCUUGCAGGUGAGAAGAAAUACUGUUUCUCAGAACUAUUUGACAACCAAGUGGUCAUCACACUGAGCAAUGAGAUAUACAAAGAUUCCAUCUAACCUAACCUAACCUCACCUCAUUAUUGCCUCCAUUUCUGUACAUGAUUAUAGUUUUUCCUCUGUAUCCAUAGGGGAUGGGUUGUGGGACCCCAAUCCCCUUCUUAAACCCAAGAAUGCUCAAUCCCUUAUAUAAAAUGACAGUAUUUGCAUAUAACUCAUGCAAAUACUCCAUUUAGUUUCAUCUCUAGAUGAUGUAUAAU